CUACGGGUUGCUCCAGUGAGGAAUCUUCCGCAAUGGGCGAAAGCCUGACGGAGCGACGCCGCGUGGUGGAUGAAGGCUUUUUAAGUCGUAAACACCUGUUCUGAGGGACGAAAUUUUUGACGGUACCUCAGGAGAAAGUAUCGGCAAACCCUGUGCCAGCAGCUGCGGUAAGACAGGGGAUACAAGCGUUACUCGGAAUCACUGGGCGUAAAGCGUCUGUAGGCUUUCCGGAAAGUCUGAGGUAAAAGCUCAGGGCUUAACCCUGAAAACGUCUUGGAAACUCCCGGAAUUGAGCAAUGGAGAGGCAUCUGGAAUGCCAUAUGUAGGAGUAAUAUCCGUAGAUAUAUGGUAGAACGCCAAAAGUGAAGACAGGGUGCUAGCCAUUCGCUGACGCUGAGAGACGAAAGCGUGGGGAGCAAAGCGGAUUAGAUACCCCGGUAGUC
rnacentral:rRNA from 1 species